rnacentral:lncRNA from 1 species
AAGACAAAAGUGUUGUGAGCAUGCUUCGGAAGUCAUUUUCUAAACAUGUCUAGAAAGCCAUUACGCAGACUAAAGUAGAGAUGCAUCAUCCUUUCAAAGCACAGACUGGGAAGGCCUUUGUGUUAUAACCAUCAUAAGUCAACAGCCUAAGCUAUGACUCAAUACCUCGAAACAAUUGCUGCUACUUCAUGCAAGGAUUUUAAAUGUCGAGUUAGGUGAUUUCCUGAUAGUUCAAUCAUCCCUGAGCCUUAAAAUGUUCUCUCUCUUGAAAGCUUCAUCAGAAUGAAAUUCUCUCUAGUUUGCUUGGGUGUACACAUAUCUGGUCCACAGGGAACCUGAAGAUGGUCACACACAUACACCUCCCAUAAGAUGUAAAUAUUCCUUCCACUUUCUACCUAUGCGCUUUUUUUUUCUACUAAGCUGAAAAAGUUCCUUUUUAUCAAGGUGUACACUACUGAUGCUGUUGGUUGUAUUGGGAACACAUAGCAAUAAAAAAACGUG